GGUUAAGCGACUAAGCGUACACGGUGGAUGCCCUGGCAGUCAGAGGCGAUGAAGGACGUGCUAAUCUGCGAUAAGCGUCGGUGAGGUGAUAUGAACCGUUAUAACCGGCGAUUUCCGAAUGGGGAAACCCAGUGUGUUUCGACACACUAUCAUUAACUGAAUCCAUAGGUUAAUGAGGCGAACCGGGGGAACUGAAACAUCUAAGUACCCCGAGGAAAAGAAAUCAACCGAGAUUCCCCCAGUAGCGGCGAGCGAACGGGGAGGAGCCCAGAGCCUGAAUCAGUGUGUGUGUUAGUGGAAGCGUCUGGAAAGGCGUGCGAUACAGGGUGACAGCCCCGUACACAAAAAUGCACAUAUUGUGAGCUCGAUGAGUAGGGCGGGACACGUGGUAUCCUGUCUGAAUAUGGGGGGACCAUCCUCCAAGGCUAAAUACUCCUGACUGACCGAUAGUGAACCAGUACCGUGAGGGAAAGGCGAAAAGAACCCCGGCGAGGGGAGUGAAAAAGAACCUGAAACCGUGUACGUACAAGCAGUGGGAGCCUCUUAAUGGGGUGACUGCGUACCUUUUGUAUAAUGGGUCAGCGACUUAUAUUCUGUAGCAAGGUUAACCGAAUAGGGGAGCCGAAGGGAAACCGAGUCUUAACUGGGCGUUAAGUUGCAGGGUAUAGACCCGAAACCCGGUGAUCUAGCCAUGGGCAGGUUGAAGGUUGGGUAACACUAACUGGAGGACCGAACCGACUAAUGUUGAAAAAUUAGCGGAUGACUUGUGGCUGGGGGUGAAAGGCCAAUCAAACCGGGAGAUAGCUGGUUCUCCCCGAAAGCUAUUUAGGUAGCGCCUCGUGAAUUCAUCUCCGGGGGUAGAGCACUGUUUCGGCAAGGGGGUCAUCCCGACUUACCAACCCGAUGCAAACUGCGAAUACCGGAGAAUGUUAUCACGGGAGACACACGGCGGGUGCUAACGUCCGUCGUGAAGAGGGAAACAACCCAGACCGCCAGCUAAGGUCCCAAAGUCAUGGUUAAGUGGGAAACGAUGUGGGAAGGCCCAGACAGCCAGGAUGUUGGCUUAGAAGCAGCCAUCAUUUAAAGAAAGCGUAAUAGCUCACUGGUCGAGUCGGCCUGCGCGGAAGAUGUAACGGGGCUAAACCAUGCACCGAAGCUGCGGCAGCGACACUAUGUGUUGUUGGGUAGGGGAGCGUUCUGUAAGCCUGUGAAGGUGGCCUGUGAGGGUUGCUGGAGGUAUCAGAAGUGCGAAUGCUGACAUAAGUAACGAUAAAGCGGGUGAAAAGCCCGCUCGCCGGAAGACCAAGGGUUCCUGUCCAACGUUAAUCGGGGCAGGGUGAGUCGACCCCUAAGGCGAGGCCGAAAGGCGUAGUCGAUGGGAAACAGGUUAAUAUUCCUGUACUUGGUGUUACUGCGAAGGGGGGACGGAGAAGGCUAUGUUGGCCGGGCGACGGUUGUCCCGGUUUAAGCGUGUAGGCUGGUUUUCCAGGCAAAUCCGGAAAACCAAGGCUGAGGCGUGAUGA
rnacentral:rRNA from 1 species